rnacentral:rRNA from 1 species
UACGAAGGGGGCUAGCGUUGCUCGGAAUCACUGGGCGUAAAGGGUGCGUAGGCGGGUCUUUAAGUCAGGGGUGAAAUCCUGGAGCUCAACUCCAGAACUGCCUUUGAUACUGAAGAUCUUGAGUUCGGGAGAGGUGAGUGGAACUGCGAGUGUAGAGGUGAAAUUCGUAGAUAUUCGCAAGAACACCAGUGGCGAAGGCGGCUCACUGGUCCGGAUCUGACGCUGAGGCGCGAAAGCGUGGGGAGCAAACAGG